UACAGAGGGUGCGAGCGUUGUCCGGAAUCACUGGGCGUAAAGGGCGCGUAGGUGGCGCUGCAAGUCGGUGGUGAAAGCUCGUCGCUUAACGACGAGUCGGCCAUCGAAACUGCAGGGCUGGAGCACUGUAGGGGCAGAUGGAAUUCCGGGUGUAGCGGUGGAAUGCGUAGAGAUCCGGAAGAACACCGGUGGCGAAGGCGGUCUGCUGGGCAGUAGCUGACACUGAGGCGCGACAGCGUGGGGAGCAAACAGG
rnacentral:rRNA from 1 species